AUUGAACGCUGGCGGAAUGCUUUACACAUGCAAGUCGAACGGCAGCACGGACUCCGGUCUGGUGGCGAGUGGCGAACGGGUGAGUAAUGUAUCGGAACGUGCCCAGUCGUGGGGGAUAACGUAGUGAAAAUUACGCUAAUACCGCAUACGAUCUAUGGAUGAAAGCGGGGGAUCGCAAGACCUCGCGCGAUUGGAGCGGCCGAUAUCAGAUUAGGUAUGUGGUGGGGUAAAGGCCCACCAAGCCAACGGUCUGGAGCUGGUCUGAGAGGACGACCAGCCACACUGGAACUGAGACACGGUCCAGACUCCUACGGGAGGCAGCAGUAGGGAAUUUUGGACAAUGGGCGAAAGCCUGAUCCAGCCAUUCCGCGUGCAGGAUGAAGGCCCUCGGGUUGUAAACUGCUUUUGUACAGAACGAAAAGGUUUCUACUAAUACUAGGAGCUCAUGACGGUACUGUAAGAAUAAGCACCGGCUAACUACGUGCCAGCCGCCGCGGGAA
rnacentral:rRNA from 1 species